GAACGCUGCCGGCGCGCUUAACACAUGCAAGUCGACGAUGAAGCCUAGCUUGCUAGGUGGAUUAGUGGCGAACGGGUGAGUAAUACGUGAGUAACCUACCUUUAACUCUGGGAUAAGCCCGGGAAACUGGGUCUAAUACCGGAUACGACCAAUUCCGCAUGGGGUGUUGGUGGAAAGCGUUAUGUAGUGGUUAUAGAUGGGCUCACAGCCUAUCAGCUUGUUGGUGAGGUAACGGCUCACCAAGGCGACGACGGGUAGCCGGCCUGAGAGGGUGACCGGCCACACUGGGACUGAGACACGGCCCAGACUCCUACGGGAGGCAGCAGUGGGGAAUAUUGCACAAUGGGCGCAAGCCUGAUGCAGCGACGCCGCGUGAGGGAUGACGGCCUUCGGGUUGUAAACCUCUGUUAGCAGGGAAGAAGAGAGAUUGACGGUACCUGCAGAGAAAGCGC
rnacentral:rRNA from 1 species